rnacentral:lncRNA from 1 species
UUAAUUUAUUAUGCCAAUGUUUUAGGAGAAUAUACUUUGAGUCAGGUUGGUAUACUAUCGGUAGCACGGAAGUCUUCAUGCUACUAAAUUAUUUUCGAUGAUGCGGCUUCCAAAUUGACGAUCAGCUCCAUUAGACUUGAUCUACAUUAUUAAAAGUAUUUGGAAACUAAAUUUCAUAAUUUUUCGACAUCAUUUGGCUAGUGAUCAAAAGGUCUCAAAAUUGACAAUUUUAAUGGUAGAUGUGAUCCACAAUAAAUGUAACCAAUAAAAUAGAAAAAGACACAUAUGGUAGUUGAUUCAUAUUUUCAGCUAAAUUUAUUUCAAAAAAAAUAAAUAAAGCGCAUAAUAUGCCACAUUUCUCUCUCAAAAAAAAAACUCUCAAAAAAGAGAAAAAUAUAUGUUCAUCUUCCAUUUUAAAAUUAUGUUUGGAUGUUUGAAUAUCUUAUUUAGUAUAUUUUCUUAAUUUAUUUAAGAAGCUGAUCUUAUUUAUUUAUAUAAGGAAUAUAAUUAAAUUAAGUAAAUCAAAGAUUACUAGAAAAUUAUUAUUUUUUUUAGAUU